rnacentral:RNase_P_RNA from 1 species
GUGGGCUAGACGACCGCGGGACCUACGAGCAAUCGCAGGUCAUGAGGAAAGUCCGGGCUCCACAGGGCAGGAUGCUGGCUAACGGCCAGGCGGGGUAACCCGACGGAAAGCGCCGCAGAAAAGAAGACUCCCACUGGCGGGUUCGCCCGUUAAGGGAAAAGCUGAAACGGUGGUGUAAGAGACCACCAGCGUCGUGGCAACACGGCGGCUUGGCAAGCCCCAUCCGGAGCAAACGCAAAUAGGAGCGCCAUGGUGUUGCCCGCACCGCGCUCGGGUUGCGCGCUAGAGGCCAACGGCAACGUUGGUCGUAGAUAAAUGGUCGUCCUAGACAGAACCCGGCUCAUAGGCCCGCCU